rnacentral:lncRNA from 1 species
CUUCCUACUUAACAAGCUUUUAAAGCUUAAGCUUUCAGCUUGUGGGCAGUGUUAGGACUAUAAAGUAGAGUUUCUAAUUAACAUAACCUACAUAUAACAAACAAUUUUCGCUAAAAAAGAAAAGAAGCUAUAGUGGAGAUGCCAGUAUCUAAACUCUUGUAAAGCUGAGGUAGAAUAUACCAGUUUGGAGGGAGACUUAUCCGAUUCAGAUAUUGUAACGGGAAUAUUGUUUCGAUCUUCAUUGCGGGGAAUUCUUUCUCUCCUCCGAAAUACCAUGCUGGAGGUUUCAGAUACUGUGUUGGCAAUGGAGGGCAUAUUGUUUUGAUCUUCAUUGCGGGGAAUUCUUUCUCUCCUCCGAAAUACCAUGCUGGAGGUUUCAGAUACUGUGUUGGCAAUGGAGGGCAUGUUGUUUUGAUCUUCAUUACGGGAAAUUCUUUCCCUUGGCAUGUUGUUACGAUC